rnacentral:rRNA from 1 species
AUAAUGGGUCAGCGACUUAUAUUCUGUAGCAAGGUUAACCGAAUAGGGGAGCCGAAGGGAAACCGAGUCUUAACUGGGCGUUAAGUUGCAGGGUAUAGACCCGAAACCCGGUGAUCUAGCCAUGGGCAGGUUGAAGGUUGGGUAACACUAACUGGAGGACCGAACCGACUAAUGUUGAAAAAUUAGCGGAUGACUUGUGGCUGGGGGUGAAAGGCCAAUCAAACCGGGAGAUAGCUGGUUCUCCCCGAAAGCUAUUUAGGUAGCGCCUCGUGAAUUCAUCUCCGGGGGUAGAGCACUGUUUCGGCAAGGGGGUCAUCCCGACUUACCAACCCGAUGCAAACUGCGAAUACCGGAGAAUGUUAUCACGGGAGACACACGGCGGGUGCUAACGUCCGUCGUGAAGAGGGAAACAACCCAGACCGCCAGCUAAGGUCCCAAAGUCAUGGUUAAGUGGGAAACGAUGUGGGAAGGCCCAGACAGCCAGGAUGUUGGCUUAGAAGCAGCCAUCAUUUAAAGAAAGCGUAAUAGCUCACUGGUCGAGUCGGCCUGCGCGGAAGAUGUAACGGGGCUAAACCAUGCACCGAAGCUGCGGCAGCGACGCUGAUGCGUUGUUGGGUAGGGGAGCGUUCUGUAAGCCUGUGAAGGUGUGCUGUGAGGCAUGCUGGAGGUAUCAGAAGUGCGAAUGCUGACAUAAGUAACGAUAAAGCGGGUGAAAAGCCCGCUCGCCGGAAGACCAAGGGUUCCUGUCCAACGUUAAUCGGGGCAGGGUGAGUCGACCCCUAAGGCGAGGCCGAAAGGCGUAGUCGAUGGGAAACAGGUUAAUAUUCCUGUACUUGGUGUUACUGCGAAGGGGGGACGGAGAAGGCUAUGUUGGCCGGGCGACGGUUGUCCCGGUUUAAGCGUGUAGGCUGGUUUUCCAGGCAAAUCCGGAAAACUAAGGCUGAGGCGUGAUGACGAGGCACUACGGUGCUGAAGCAACAAAUGCCCUGCUUCCAGGAAAAGCCUCUAAGCAUCAGGUAACAUCAAAUCGUACCCCAAACCGACACAGGUGGUCAGGUAGAGAAUACCAAGGCGCUUGAGAGAACUCGGGUGAAGGAACUAGGCAAAAUGGUGCCGUAACUUCGGGAGAAGGCACGCUGAUAUGUAGGUGAAGUCCCUCGCGGAUGGAGCUGAAAUCAGUCGAAGAUACCAGCUGGCUGCAACUGUUUAUUAAAAACACAGCACUGUGCAAACACGAAAGUGGACGUAUACGGUGUGACGCCUGCCCGGUGCCGGAAGGUUAAUUGAUGGGGUCAGCGCAAGCGAAGCUCUUGAUCGAAGCCCCGGUAAACGGCGGCCGUAACUAUAACGGUCCUAAGGUAGCGAAAUUCCUUGUCGGGUAAGUUCCGACCUGCACGAAUGGCGUAAUGAUGGCCAGGCUGUCUCCACCCGAGACUCAGUGAAAUUGAACUCGCUGUGAAGAUGCAGUGUACCCGCGGCAAGACGGAAAGACCCCGUGAACCUUUACUAUAGCUUGACACUGAACAUUGAGCCUUGAUGUGUAGGAUAGGUGGGAGGCUUUGAAGUGUGGACGCCAGUCUGCAUGGAGCCGACCUUGAAAUACCACCCUUUAAUGUUUGAUGUUCUAACGUUGACCCGUAAUCCGGGUUGCGGACAGUGUCUGGUGGGUAGUUUGACUGGGGCGGUCUCCUCCUAAAGAGUAACGGAGGAGCACGAAGGUUGGCUAAUCCUGGUCGGACAUCAGGAGGUUAGUGCAAUGGCAUAAGCCAGCUUGACUGCGAGCGUGACGGCGCGAGCAGGUGCGAAAGCAGGUCAUAGUGAUCCGGUGGUUCUGAAUGGAAGGGCCAUCGCUCAACGGAUAAAAGGUACUCCGGGGAUAACAGGCUGAUACCGCCCAAGAGUUCAUAUCGACGGCGGUGUUUGGCACCUCGAUGUCGGCUCAUCACAUCCUGGGGCUGAAGUAGGUCCCAAGGGUAUGGCUGUUCGCCAUUUAAAGUGGUACGCGAGCUGGGUUUAGAACGUCGUGAGACAGUUCGGUCCCUAUCUGCCGUGGGCGCUGGAGAACUGAGGGGGGCUGCUCCUAGUACGAGAGGACCGGAGUGGACGCAUCACUGGUGUUCGGGUU